rnacentral:lncRNA from 1 species
UUGCAGAGGCAGGCUGACCCCAGCUUGCCCUGUGCAGAGCUGGCUGGACUUCUCCUUGGCUGGCUUUGUUGACAGUUUUUGACAGAAUUGUGAUGGUCCCUAUAAGGUCAGCCCCCACCCCUGCUAAUUGUGAGCUAGUGAUACUGAGGGUCACUCCACAAGCACACCUUGCAAGGGGCCCUUUGCAUUUCUAACAGGCAGGACAGAUUGCAGGGUGAGAAGAAGGUCCCGAGGUCCCUGGGGAAUCAAGCCAAGCCAGUGAAGUCCCACUCCACCUACCGACCUCCUGCCAAGGAACUAGGGGAGGAAUGGCGUAUGACUGGUUCUGCCAAAACAAGCCAGAAGAAAUUGAGUGCAGGACUUCCACUUAUACAAGAGACAGGCAGGCACUAAGAACUCACCAACACCAUAUGUCUUCUUGAUGGAUGUGGAGACCCUAUCUGGAGCUGCAGCAGCCAUGUUGGCACCAAGGGAGGAGGAACAGAAGGAGAAAAGGCCAAACAAAGUGCCCAGGAUGGUGGACUAGAGACAGAAGGAG